UGAGCUUCAUAGAAAUUAACCCAUCUCAAUCCCUCCCUCCUUAUCCUUAGACACUGAGGAAUGUAAAGGUUCAAUAACUUGCCUCAGUGGCUGAGUUGGGGAUUGGAACCAGCAGACCUGGCUUCCACAGUGGCCGACACCGCUCGGGCUCUCUGCAUCUCCUGAGUAGCAGAAAACUACCCCACUGCUGGCGCUGUCACUCUCAUUUUCUGGAAGAGACAAAGGAGACUCAGACAAAAGGAUCUGGAAACUACAGCCAGGUCUCCGACCCCAAGCCCACGCUGCCAUCAGCUCACGCUCGGAUCCUAAAAGAUGACGAUGGGAAUUAUGCUGAGCUCAACAGCUGCGUGAUUCCAUUUAUAGAACUUUAUCAAAACGACAGGAUUAUAGAAAUAGAGGACCGAUGCGUGGCACCAGGAGUUGGGGAGGGGGAGGGUGGUGGCCGUGUCUAUCAAGGGGUAGCGGGGUGGCCCUGGGUUCUACCCCGAGGGUACCCUGUGGCGGUGCACACGCCAGUCUACACGAGUGAUAAAAUCGCACAGAACUAAGUUCGCGCGCACAUGCGCCCGCGUGAGCUCAGGUAGAGCCACGGAAAUCUGGAAAUCUGAUUGAGGUGGGUGGAUCCUAUCCACGUCGGUUGCCUGGUUUGUGAUGUUGUAACUAUAGGUUUGCAAGGUGUUACCUUUGAGGGAAACCGGGUGAAGGGUAUACUGGCUCGUUAUUGUUUCUUACAUGUGAGUGUCCAGUGAUCUCGAUACAAAAAGUUUACUUUUUAAAGAAACAGGAUGGGGCGCCUGGGUGGCGCAGUCGGUUAAGCGUCCGACUUCAGCCAGGUCACGAUCUCGCGGUCCGUGAGUUCGAGCCCCACGUCGGGCUCUGGGCUGAUGGCUCAGAGCCUGUAGCCUGCUUCCGAUUCUGUGUCUCCCUCUCUCUCUGCCCCUCCCCUGUUCAUGUUGUGUCUCUCUCUGUCCCAAAAAUAAAUAAACGUUGAAAAAAAAUUAAAAAAAAAAA
rnacentral:lncRNA from 1 species